rnacentral:misc_RNA from 1 species
AACGCACAUUGCGCCCCCUGGUAUUCCGGGGGGCAUGCCUGUCCGAGCGUCAUUGCUGCCCUCAAGCCCGGCUUGUGUGUUGGGUCGCCGUCCCCUCUCUCCGGGGGGACGGGCCCGAAAGGCAGCGGCGGCACCGCGUCCGAUCCUCGAGCGUAUGGGGCUUUGUCACAUGCUCUGUAGGAUUGGCCGGCGCCUGCCGACGUUUUCCAACCAUUCUUUCCAGGUUGACCUCGGAUCAGGUAGGGAUACCCGCUGAACUUAA